CUUCCCCGUCCCACACACCACAAGAAUUCAGCAAAUUUAGAGAGUUAGAAAGCUGGUUGUCUUAGGAACAAGAACCCGAGGCAGUGACUACUUAAAGAGGGGCGUCGUCGCACGUCAAGUGAGGCCAAAUCAAGGGACUGCCAUUAAGGAAUUGAGCGAACACGGUUGAACGGGAUCGAGGUGAUGAAGGUGUUGGGAAGAAAUCGAUAAUAAGUAGUUAGGUAGCUAAAAUAGUAUGUCUCCAUACAUGCUAUUUUGUCUUGGAAUCUUCCGCUGCAUUUAAAUGUUGUUCUAGGAAAAAUUAUGUAAUCUGAUUUCAAUACUCUGAUUAUGACUUGAUUUGUAACCAUUCGCCUUCGAGACUAUUCCCUCGAGUUAACUAUUCCUUUUGCGAUGA